rnacentral:rRNA from 1 species
AUACAGAGGGUGCGAGCGUUAAUCGGAAUUACUGGGCGUAAAGCGCGCGUAGGCGACUACUUAAGUCAGAUGUGAAAUCCCCGGGCUCAACCUGGGAACUGCAUCUGAUACUGGGUAGCUAGAGUUUAGGAGAGGGAAGUAGAAUUUCAGGUGUAGCGGUGAAAUGCAUAGAGAUCUGAAGGAAUACCAGUGGCGAAGGCGGCUUCCUGGCCUAAAACUGACGCUGAGGUGCGAAAGCGUGGGUAGCAAACGGGAUUAGAAACCCUAGUAGUCC